AGUUUGAUCAUGGCUCAGAUUGAACGCUGGCGGCAUGCCUUACACAUGCAAGUCGAACGGCAGCACGGGGCAACCUGGUGGCGAGUGGCGAACGGGUGAGUAAUAUAUCGGAACGUACCCAAGAGUGGGGGAUAACGUAGCGAAAGUUACGCUAAUACCGCAUACGAUCUAAGGAUGAAAGCAGGGGACCGCAAGGCCUUGUGCUCCUGGAGCGGCCGAUAUCUGAUUAGCUAGUUGGUAGGGUAAAAGCCUACCAAGGCAUCGAUCAGUAGCUGGUCUGAGAGGACGACCAGCCACACUGGAACUGAGACACGGUCCAGACUCCUACGGGAGGCAGCAGUGGGGAAUUUUGGACAAUGGGCGCAAGCCUGAUCCAGCAAUGCCGCGUGAGUGAAGAAGGCCUUCGGGUUGUAAAGCUCUUUUGUCAGGGAAGAAAAGGUUACGAAUAAUACUCGUGGCUCAUGACGGUACCUGAAGAAUAAGCACCGGCUAACUACGUGCCAGCAGCCGCGGUAGUCGGCCCAAUCGCC
rnacentral:rRNA from 1 species